rnacentral:lncRNA from 1 species
AUAAGCAUUUAAAUCUGCCUGUCCACUCUUCUUAUUGUAUUUAAAUGUUAAUUCAUAAGAUUGGGACAUAGUCCAAAAUUCAUAUAAAUGAAAACCUGUUGGCACAGAUUAAUAAAAAUAAUUAAAACCAGGUCUGGACAGAGGUAAAGAUUUGACAAACUAAAGCAAGAUGUAUCUAAUCUCUUAAGUGCUCUAAACUCUAAUGUAGAAUCCCUUCAAAUUUUAGAAGUUGUCCCGUAGAGGAGGUUAACUUGAUGUAUGCUGGUUUGUCUUAUGAGUCAAGACAAAUCACAGAGUAAAAUAAUAAAUGUAAAGUCUAGGGAAUAAAGUUCUAAUGUAAUGAUUAUGAAAGAAGAGCUCAGGUCAUUCUUCUCUACAAUAUCACAUUUUGCAGGUACUUUGUGAGUGUAUAUAGCAAUAGAUACUAAAUGGGUCAGCUACCUUGAUAUAUGUUAAAUGACACCAGGAAAGUAGUUCCUAUUACUAAAAUUGAUUGGAUUCCAUUA